ACAAAAUAUUUUUAGGGCAAAUCAUUUCAGCCUCCCCAACCUCCAUCUGUCUGCAAGAAUCAAAAGUUCAAAACCUAUUACCCAUAUCAAAACCCAUAUCGGCAUAUCAUUUCAGAUUGUUCAGAAAAUCAAAACCCAUAUCUUUCAGUUUCCAUCGCCCGCUGUUCCUGUUCGGGUUCGCCGUUCGCAAGCUUCAGCCGAUCUGGAACAGCCGAACUAUUCAUCAGAUCUGAAUCAGAGAGAGAGAAGAGAAAGUUGAGUGAAACCCAUUACACUUCUACAAUCUGCUAUUAGGUUUGCUGUUGCGGCAUUUUUAAGGGACAGACAUGUCCCAUCAAUAAUCAGGUUGUAUAGAUUUGUUUUUGAGACAAGUGGAUUCCAAGGUUCUGCAAUCCACCCGAAUGAGGAGAUUAGUGCUAGACUGCUAGUAUAUCCUCAACCCAAGCUGUAUCAGGGGAUGACAUGUCUCUGGCUGGAGGUCAUGGGGAUCUUGAUCCCAUAAGCAGUUUUAAAAGUUUCAGGUGAGGCUUGUAUUAAUUUGCAUUCUAUUUUAAUAUUUUACGUGUGGAAUGAUUAUCUGAAACUUUGAUCUCAUCUGGGGAAGAGCUGGUAUAUACGUGGCAUCUACUUGCUCACAAGCAGUUAGUGUAUUGAGCAUUCCUUCUUAUAUUUUGCCCACUCCGGCAAUUAUGGCCGAAUUCCUAUUUAUUUUGUUUCACACACCAUUGUUACCCAUUCCGGCGACAAUGGCUGGUUACUCCUCCUUAGUGGUCCUAGGGCAGUGUUAUACAAUGGAUUUAGAUACAUCGGUAUUGUGUUGGUUAAACACCUGCUCUUUCUUUGCGCAAAGAAAGCUGCUCUGAUCUCAGGAUCAGAAACCGCUUCCACAAACAUUUGAGCCUUGGCCAUGUACCUUGCAAACCUGUACCAAAUGAAAUAUACGAGGAUAAUCUGUUGGGGUUCUCUUCAUAUAUUUCAUUUGAUACAGGUUUGCAAGGCACGUGGCCAAGGGUUGCGCAGCUUUCUUUGCGUAAAGAAAGAGCAGGUGUUUAACCAGCACAACCCCAAUGGAUUAGUAUAACACUGCCCUGGGACCACUAAGGAGGAGUGGGCAAAAUAUAAGAAGCAAGCAAGUUUUUCCAUCAGAAGCAGAUGAGAUCAAAGUUUCAGAUAACCACAUUUAAAAUCUUAAAAUAGAAUGCAAAUUAAUAAAAGCAUCACCUGAAAAUUAACCACAUUUACGAGAAUGCAUUUGUAUGUGGUUGGGAGAAGAGCAAGUAAUACUAGUGUGGGUUGAAUUUUGAAAUAAGGUUUUAUUAGGAUUUACGGGAAAUUUGGAUUCCUGAUUGCUAUUCAAUGUAUAUUAUAAAAAAAAUCAUCUAGAUUGUAUUGACCAUGAGCUAUGUUUCGGCCACGUCACUAUGCGAUUUUGGGAGGUUAUGGAAUAUCUAUUUUGUGUAAUUAAAUUGGAAUUCCGAGAUGUUAUUAAUUAUCUUAUUUUUUGUUAUGUGUAAUUAAGUCAUACGCUAUA